AGUCGAGGGGUAUAGGUUUUCGGACCUAGAGACCGGCGCACGGGUGCGUAACGCGUAUGCAAUCUACCUUUUACAGAGGGAUAGCCCAGAGAAAUUUGGAUUAAUACCUCAUAGUAUUAUUGAAUGGCAUCAUUUAAUAAUUAAAGUCACAACGGUAAAAGAUGAGCAUGCGUCCCAUUAGCUAGUUGGUAAGGUAACGGCUUACCAAGGCAACGAUGGGUAGGGGUCCUGAGAGGGAGAUCCCCCACACUGGUACUGAGACACGGACCAGACUCCUACGGGAGGCAGCAGUGAGGAAUAUUGGUCAAUGGGCGCAAGCCUGAACCAGCCAUGCCGCGUGCAGGAUGACGGUCCUAUGGAUUGUAAACUGCUUUUGUACAGGAAGAAACAGUUCUACGUGUAGAACCUUGACGGUACUGUAAGAAUAAGGAUCGGCUAACUCCGUGCCAGCAGCCGCGGUAAUACGGAGGAUCCAAGCGUUAUCCGGAAUCAUUGGGUUUAAAGGGUCCGUAGGCGGUUUUGUAAGUCAGUGGUGAAAGCCCAUCGCUCAACGGUGGAACGGCCAUUGAUACUGCAAGACUUGAAUUAUUAGGAAGUAACUAGAAUAUGUAGUGUAGCGGUGAAAUGCUUAGAGAUUACAUGGAAUACCAAUUGCGAAGGCAGGUUACUACUAAUUGAUUGACGCUGAUGGACGAAAGCGUGGGGAGCGAACAGGAUUAGAUACCCUGGUAGUCCACGCCGUACACGAUGGAUACUAGCUGUUCGGAGCAAUCCGAGUGGCUAAGCCAAAGUGAUAAGU
rnacentral:rRNA from 1 species